UGCACUGGAAAAUAGUCAAGCCGACCCUCAAAAAUGAAUUCUCUCUUUCUACUUUUUGACUUAAAUAUAAACCAAAAAAAAAAAAGAUUAUAAACAAGUUCAGCGAAGAGAGUAUAUAUUCCCUGUCGCCGUCCCAAAUGGAACAGGCAACGCAGGGUGGGGGCAGAAUAUCUUCCCAUCCUAUUUCAAUUAUGCAUGUUUCAAUCGAACCAAAAGUAGUUGACAUCAACAAUAUUCUGUCAAGAUAAUCAAAUUUAUAGAACAUACUUAAUGGAUACAUUCUAUACCCCACUAAGAAAGAAAUAAUUGAACCUCGACUACAAAUACAUCAACAGCCAUUACUUAGUUUUUAGUUAUAUUCCUUCCUAAAGUUAAAGCAUCUUUCGACCAACCAGAGUUCAUUAACAUUAUAUCUACACAAGAAACACAUCCCUCUUUCCACAUAAGAGAGAUAAAGAAAAAGCAAAGGCAGGGAGGUCACCUAUGA
rnacentral:lncRNA from 1 species